GUAAAAACAAAUUCUGGGAGAUGUGGGCAGAGCCUGUUUCAUCAAAGAGCAAAGGUUGUAAACCCACAUCAUUCCUGGCAUUCCCUGAAGAACUGCUACUCAUCCCAUUACAAAGAAGACAUAAGCCACCUGUUUAAUAAUCCUGGCUCUCCAGUGCUUCUCAGAGUGUACAAGGCCCUUUUGUUCUUUACUGUUGUGAGUUCUACAGUUUCCGUGUGAACUGUUUGCUGAAGACCUAAGCUAAGACAUAUUAUUCUAUCAUCUGGAAGUCACCUUUUUCCGCAAGGCCAGAACGUCACAGAAAGAAAGGCCUACUUCAAUUCUGGAGAAGACCAAGAGACUGGCUUCUCUAAGAAAUCUGUCCCAAACAACUGGAGAAGGGGUUAUGCCAAAAGCUGUUGCCUGUACCUGGAAUAAGUUUUUCUAGGAUGCCUACUGUCACUGCCUUGUGCCCUUAUCACUGUCCCAGAACCUAGUGAAUUAGUGAGGUGCAGCUGCUUUCCUGAGCUUUGACCAUGGUGAA
rnacentral:lncRNA from 1 species